UGACGAGCCUCUGGAGAGACUUCGCAUGUUGCGGAGCACCGAAGGAGCAAGCCUUGCCGUGCAAGGUGAAACUCUCAGGUACCAAGGACAGAGUGAGUGUA
rnacentral:ncRNA from 2 species